rnacentral:rRNA from 1 species
GGACGAAAGUCUGACGGAGCAACGCCGCGUGAGUGAAGAAGGUUUUCGGAUCGUAAAACUCUGUUUUCAGGGACGAAUGUGCAAUAUGUGAAUAAUGUGUUGUAAUGACGGUACCUGACAAGAAAGCCACGGCUAACUACGUGCCAGCAGCCGCGGUAAUACGUAGGUGGCAAGCGUUGUCCGGAAUUAUUGGGCGUAAAGCGCGCGCAGGUGGGAUAAUAAGUCUGAUGUUAAAGUUCGGGGCUCAACCCCGUGAAGCAUUGGAAACUAUUAUUCUUGAGUGCAGGAGAGGAAAGUGGAAUUCCUAGUGUAGCGGUGAAAUGCGUAGAUAUUAGGAGGAACACCAGUGGCGAAGGCGACUUUCUGGACUGUGUCUGACACUGAGGCGCGAAAGCCAGGGUAGUGAACGGGAUUAGAUACCCCGGUAAUCCUGGCCGUAAACGAUGGGUACUAGGUGUUGGGGGUAUCGACCCCUCCAGUGCCGGAGUUAACGCAAUAAGUACCCCGCCUGGGGAGUAC